rnacentral:rRNA from 1 species
UUCCGCCGCGCGUCGCGAGAGUCCCUGAACCUUUCAUUUAGAGGAAGGAGAAGUCGUAACAAGUUUCCGUAGGGGGACUGGGGAAGGAUCAUUUCGA